rnacentral:rRNA from 1 species
AUUGAACGCUGGCGGCAGGCCUAACACAUGCAAGUCGAGCGGAGCGGCGGACGGGUGAGUAAUGCCUAGGAAUCUGCCUGGCAGUGGGGGAUAACGUCCGGCAACGGGCGCUAAUACCGCAUACUCUCAGAUGAGCCUAGGUCGGAUUAGCUAGUUGGUGGGGUAAAGGCCUACCAGGGCGACGAUCCGUAACUGGUCUGAGAGGAUGAUAAGUCACGCUGGACCUGAGGCAGGGUCCAGACUCCUCCGGGAGGCAGAAGUGGGGAAGAUGGGACAAUGGGCGAAAGCCUGAUCCAGCCAUGCCGCGUGUGUGAAGAAGGUCUUCGGAUUGUAAAGCAAUUUAAGUUGGGAGGCGUUACCAAAAGAAUAAGCACCGGCUAACUUCGUGCCAGCAGCCGCGUAAUAC